rnacentral:lncRNA from 1 species
GGUGACUCCAACGGUUGGCUGAGGACGAUUCCCUGAGCCUUGACAAAGCAGGAGCCCUCCGUGGCGGUGCGUCGGUGUCGAGGCUCCAGUCUGACUAAUCCAGGGGGUCGACAAAACAGAUUCGGGACACUAUGCUACACGGAGGGCCUACCAGGAUGCAGAAACAGCAGACGGAGUCCAGGGAAAGCAGUGCGGCAUCCCAGCCUCAGGCCUGCCCGUACGGUGUUCGGAAAUACUAGGCUUUAGAAUUUCACCAUAUGAAUUUUGGGAGAGAGGAGCACAGUUCAGCCCAUAACUAACACACGCAAGACAAAUCUCUCCUCUGCCUUCUCCUUAUCAGACUACUCAACAUGAAGGCAAUAAGAAUGAAGACCUCUAUGUAUAAUAAUUGACUUCCACUUAAUAAAUACCUGAACAGAUGUUGAGUACAAGCUGAUCCACCUACGUUCAACCUGAGAGAGUCCACAUCCACAGACUGUUUCAUUUCCCUUUUUCAAUUUACAUAGAAGCAUAGAUUCUUGCUGGCAUAUACAAAUGCGCCAUUUAAGGCAAUCAAAAAUGGUUCCACAUCUCAUCUGAUUUCCACAAUUGUUGCUGUAACGAUGGACUACUGAGGAGAGAGACAAUUUCUCUGGCACAUCUUCCCACAUUUUAGCAACAUGUUCAUGGAGAGCCAAUAUUCAGUAAUUACAGCCCAAUUCCUCACAAUUUCACAAUUCGCUAACAAUAUGCAUUUUCACAAUGUAAAGCUGAUUUUCCUUUAACCAAAUCAAACAUGAAAAGAUAGCUGCAUGCAAUGGGCAAUCUAGAUCAUUAGAAGAUUGAUGUAAAAUUAGAGGACACUGAGACUGGAAUAGAUUGCAAACUUCAGGGAGCUCAGAAAACUUGUAAACUCUACAUUUUGAGGAAAUAUGUUGUCGAUGCUUUUGCAACUCUAUGCAGUAACUUAACAAAUAAAGCCUUAAAGUAACUU